CCCUGCAAGACGGAGGUAACAGAUUGCACAAACACAUUGAAACAUUUUCAGCUGUUCACUAACACUGUUACAUUUUCUGGAAUUUUCAAUGGAAUGGGAGAAUACGUAAGUAAGAUAGAGAAAAACUAUCGACAUUAUAAACAUAUUGUAAUGUUAACUUGUUAGAAUAGGAGAGGCGAAUAAUCAAUAUUUCAAGAAGAAUAAACGAAAAGCGCAGUUUAUUUUGGAUUUUAAAGAGAGAAAAUGAAAGAGGUUAACAAGGAGAAAAAGAAAUCAUUUGGACCAUUGGUAAAAUUCAAAUCUAUUGCGUGCAGCAACCAAAUAAUGGAGUAUGCUUUAAAUUAUUAAAGUUAAAUAGUGUAUAUUUAAUUCAAAUAUUUGUUAUAGAUUGUGCAUUUUAUUUUGAUUUUAUUAUUAAAUAAAGAGAAAUAAUAAAAAAACUGAGUUUUAUUUAAAAGAAUUUAAUUUGCUAGAUGUAACAAAUGGGUAACAGAUAAUCUUGUUACUGCUUGUUCUUCCUAACAUGCUUAUAUGUUAAAGGUAACAAACUGAUAACCAAAAUAAUAACACUAACAGAUAUUCGGGUAACAAAUACUUUUUGUUAUCCAUAACACAUGGGUAAGCUAAGCGCUAACAAAAUAAUUUGUUACCCGUAACAUACUGUGAAGAGAUUUGCUAACAAAUGUGUGUAUUCUGUUAGAACAAGGCAGCAUGCGAUAUUUGCCAUUGGUUAGAGCGAGAUAACCAAUGAACAUCAAAUAGCUAUGUGUUACUUUUUUCCCACUCUCUGAACAAAAGUAACAAAUAUUUUAACGAAUGCAAAAGUGAACAAUAACAAUUCGCUUACACGUUUGCUAACAGCUACCCGUCUUGCAGGGUAUU